rnacentral:lncRNA from 1 species
UGGGACUCCUUGACAUUGUCCCUUUUUUUAAUUGGUAAUUUUGGGGGGCUGAGAAAUAGAUCACAGAAUGCUACUGAGAACAACUGUCAGUCAACAGGGAGCCAUGAUUCGGCAGACUUGGCGUUUGUCAGGAAACAAACAUACACAAACCAAAAGACUCCUCUGUCUUUUCUUUCUAAAUGCAUAGUUUGCCCCGAGUUGGUAAACCGAUCGGAAGCGGUGGGAGAAAUUUCCUGUAACUUCAGCAUACCUCGACCGAGAGAGACACAGCACAGGCUGCCGGCCAGGCCUGUUGCCCAGACCCCCGUCCUCGAAGUUUCCAGGAGCAGAAAGCAGCAGACGAGCAGAACUGCCUUGUCUUGGGUCAGCACCUGUUCGUUCCAGUGCCUACAGGGACAGGCUGCAGUCCUACCAAUUGCCAGGCAGGUUGAAUAUUCCAGGGUCCCAUGCAAAACGAAGCAAGAUCUUGUGAAGCCAGAAGCCCAAACAAAUCUCAGAUACCCAAGAAGUUCACACAGCCCUGAUCGCUGCUUAGUGACGGCUGGAGCCUCCGGGGGUGGGAGCGCCAUCUGAGUUCCCAGGGGAAUAAACACGCUCACGCAAGGGCUUUUGAAAAGAAG